rnacentral:rRNA from 1 species
GAUGAACGCUGGCGGCGUGCCUAAUACAUGCAAGUCGAGCGAACGGACGAGAAGCUUGCUUCUCUGAUGUUAGCGGCGGACGGGUGAGUAACACGUGGAUAACCUACCUAUAAGACUGAGAUAACUUCGGGAAACCGGAGCUAAUACCGGAUAAUAUUUUGAACCGCAUGGUUCAAAAGUGAAAGACGGUCUUGCUGUCACUUAUAGAUGGAUCCGCGCUGCAUUAGCUAGUUGGUAAGGUAACGGCUUACCAAGGCAACGAUGCAUAGCCGACCUGAGAGGGUGAUCGGCCACACUGGAACUGAGCCACGGUCCAGACUCCUACGGGAGGCAGCAGUAGGGAAUCUUCCGCAAUGGGCGAAAGCCUGACGGAGCAACGCCGCGUGAGUGAUGAAGGUCUUCGGAUCGUAAAACUCUGUUAUUAGGGAAGAACAUAUGUGUAAGUAACUGUGCACAUCUUGACGGUACCUAAUCAGAAAGCCACGGCUAACUACGUG